rnacentral:rRNA from 1 species
GAGACUGCCAGUGAUAAACUGGAGGAAGGUGGGGAUGACGUCAAGUCAUCAUGGCCCUUACGACCAGGGCUACACACGUGCUACAAUGGCGCAUACAAAGAGAAGCGACCUCGCGAGAGCAAGCGGACCUCAUAAAGUGCGUCGUAGUCCGGAUUGGAGUCUGCAACUCGACUCCAUGAAGUCGGAAUCGCUAGUAAUCGUGGAUCAGAAUGCCACGGUGAAUACGUUCCCGGGCCUUGUACACACCGCCCGUCACACCAUGGGAGUGGGUUGCAAAAGAAGUAGGUAGCUUAACCUUCGGGAGGGCGCUUACCACUUUGUGAUUCAUGACUGGGGUGAAGUCGUAACAAGGUAACCGUAGGGGAACCUGCGGUUGGAUCACCUCCUU